rnacentral:rRNA from 1 species
ACUACUAGAGGUACCGCAGCAGCGGUAAUCGAUGGGGGGCAAGGGGUGUCCGUGUGUGUUGGGCGUAAGGAGCGUGUGGGCUGGCAGGCAGGUGCGCUGUGAAAACUCGGGGCUCAACGUCGAGGGGUCGGUGGAAACCGUUUGGCUAGAGUCCGGAAGAGGAGAGUGGAAUUCCCGGUGUAGCGGUGAAAUGCGCAGAUAUCGGGAAGAACACCCGUGGCGAAGGCGGCUCUCUGGGACGGUACUGACGCUGAGACGCGAAAGCGUGGGGAGCGAACAGGAUUAGAUACCCCUGGUAGC